rnacentral:tRNA from 1 species
AGGACCCUGGCUAAAGCACCUGUCUCGUGAACAGGAGAUCCUGGGUUCAACUCCCAGUGGUGCCU